rnacentral:lncRNA from 10 species
GCGUCACCCCCACCAGCAGGUGCAGAGGUGCCGUUGCAGCAGUUGGAUGUGAGGCCAAGAAGCAGAAGCUAAGGGAGGGGGUCUGGGGCAUCCCUGGAGCUCAGAAGCCAAGGCCCGUGCCUGCCCCAGGGCUGGUGCCAUACAUAGUUCCAGGUACUGGGGACGGAGGGUAGCCGAUGGGGCCCUGAGCAGGACGUGCCUCUUCUGGACUUGACCACAGAACCCAAGCAUGGUUCAAGCGAUUCUCCUGCUUCAGCCUCCUGAGUAGUUGGGAUUACAGAUGCCCGCCACCGCACCCAGUCACAGAUGGACUCUGAGAGAGAAAAUAGCACCCCUGUCCAAACAUCACAUGCCUGGCGGAGGAACGCAGCCUGGCCUGUGCAGCCGAAUGUUGGAGAGUGCACCUUCCUCUCUUAUUUUGUUUUAUUUCCAGGGAAAGGGAAAGGAAGACAUGCAGUCUCAUUGAAGUCCUUGGGUCACUUUACCCCUGCCCUUGGGUUGAUGGACGAUCAGAUGUCUUCCUUCUCAUGCUGGCUGAGACAUCAAACACCAGAGUGGACUUACUUGGCUCCAGUGCUGGUGAUGGGCACUUCUGGGUGAAUGGAAUCUGGGGUGUACUAGCAAAUUUGCUGGUUCUUAGUGCAGGAUCAUUUGAAAAUUUAUUAUUCUGCCAAAUUGAUCAAAUCACUUUGAA